GACCCCUACCAUGGAGGAGACCAUCAAAGAUCCCCCCACAUCGGCUGUCUUGCUGGAUCACUGUCAUUUCUCUCAGGUCAUCUUUAACAGUGUGGAGAAGUUCUACAUCCCUGGAGGGGACGUCACAUGUCAUUAUACCUUCACCCAGCAUUUCAUCCCUCGUCGAAAGGAUUGGAUUGGCAUCUUUAGAAGACAGAGUUUCGUUCUGUUGCCCAGGCUGGAGUGCAAUGGCGCAAUCUCGGCUCACCGCAACCUCCACCUCCCAGGUUCAAGCGAUUCUCCUGCCUCAGCCUCCUGAGUAGCUGGGAUUACAGGUGGGGUGGAAGACAACCCGUGAGUAUUACACCUUCAUGUGGGUUACUUUGCCCAUUGACCUAAACAACAAAUCAGCUAAACAGCAGGAAGUCCAAUUCAAAGGUGAGAAAAAUACUGGAUCAAAGGUGUUGAAGACAGUAGCCAAGACUAAUUAAUUCCCUUCAGCUUGAGCUUUCUGGGG
rnacentral:sRNA from 1 species